rnacentral:lncRNA from 1 species
CACAGAAGCACAGUUACAAGCAGACUUGUUGGAGGUAAAUUACUGACUGUCCCUUGUGAUGCCUAAAUGACAGCAGAUUUCCCUGAGUGCUCAAUUUGUCCUUCAACUGAAACCCAGCAAGAUCCGGAAGAAGAUGGUGCUCACAGAGGCAAGAUGAGACCAGUAGACAGUGUGAGGGAUUAGAUUUGCUCAAGAACCUGCUCAUCACACCUGGGUGGUGUCCACACUUUAAGUAUCCAGCUCUGGUGUGAAUAGUUUGAAAAAUGGCCGCCAGCUGUGGAAGUACCGG